rnacentral:lncRNA from 1 species
CUUCAUUUGUCUCUCAAUAUAGACAAGUUAUUUCUGUGCCUCAUUUUCAUCCAUUCAGAUAUCAACAACUGAGCUAUUUCUCCUUCUCUGACUCAGAAGAAAGACAGAAAACUGUGAAAUAGCACGAGGAAACAACUUCUUGCGGAAGCACUUUGAUACCAUAAGAUUCCCUUGUUUAAGCUUCCUCUUUGGUAUUCAACAUCUCUAUUGAGGCAAGAGUGUCACAGGAGAAAAAAAAAAAAAAAAACGAGCUGAAGACAGCCUUCAUUCCAAGAGUAUUUUGGGCCACUGAUUUUUAUCACCCAGCUAUGGUAGGUGGUGGUGAAACUUCCAAUCUAGUCCAUACAUUACAGCUGCACCUGUGACAGAACUAAAGGAACUUUUGGCAACACCAAAAAUUGGGAUACAAGUUGGGCAAUCUACAUGGAUCCUUUCUCCUGAGAAGCAAGAACAUGAGAGAAUUGAAUACCAAUUUGCCCAGUUAAAUGAUUAAAAGAGUGGAAAAAGAAACCAUGAAGAAGUCCUCAGGUAUCAGAGCUGUCUUCAUAAGAUGGCUUUUUAUUCUAAUAAAAUUUUGAGGGUUAAUUAUCGUACCUGACCU